UGGGGAAUUUUGGACAAUGGGCGAAAGCCUGAUCCAGCAAUGCCGCGUGUGUGAAGAAGGCCUUCGGGUUGUAAAGCACUUUUGUCCGGAAAGAAAUCCUUGGCUCUAAUACAGUCGGGGGAUGACGGUACCGGAAGAAUAAGCACCGGCUAACUACGUGCCAGCAGCCGCGGUAAUACGUAGGGUGCAAGCGUUAAUCGGAAUUACUGGGCGUAAAGCGUGCGCAGGCGGUUUGCUAAGACCGAUGUGAAAUCCCCGGGCUCAACCUGGGAACUGCAUUGGUGACUGGCAGGCUAGAGUAUGGCAGAGGGGGGUAGAAUUCCACGUGUAGCAGUGAAAUGCGUAGAGAUGUGGAGGAAUACCGAUGGCGAAGGCAGCCCCCUGGGCCAAUACUGACGCUCAUGCACGAAAGCGUGGGGAGCAAACAGGAUUAGAUACCCCUGGUAGUCCACGCCCUAAACGAUGUCAACUAGUUGUUGGGGAUUCAUUUCCUUAGUAACGUAGCUAACGCGUGAAGUUGACCGCCUGGGGAGUACGGUCGCAAGAUUAAAACUCAAAUGAAUUGA
rnacentral:rRNA from 1 species